rnacentral:rRNA from 1 species
AUUGAACGCUGGCGGCAUGCUUUACACAUGCAAGUCGAACGGUAACAGGCCUUCGGGUGCUGACGAGUGGCGAACGGGUGAGUAAUGCAUCGGAACGUGCCCAGAGGUGGGGGAUAACGCAGCGAAAGCUGUGCUAAUACCGCAUGUGAUCUGAGGAUGAAAGCGGGGGACCAGGCAGCAAUGUUUGGCCUCGCGCCUUUGGAGCGGCCGAUGUCAGAUUAGGUAGUUGGUGGGGUAAAGGCCUACCAAGCCGACGAUCUGUAGCUGGUCUGAGAGGACGAACAGACAGACUGGGACUGAGACACGGCCCAGACUCCUACGGGAGGCAGCAGUGGGGAAUUUUGGACAAUGGGCGCAAGCCUGAUCCAGCAAUGCCGCGUGCGGGAAGAAGGACUUCGGGUUGUAAACCGCUUUUGUACGGAACGAAAAGGCUCUGGCUAAUACCUGGGGCUGAUGACGGUACCGUAAGAAUAAGCACCGGCUAACUACGUG